ACGUGUAGCAGUGAAAUGCGUAGAGGUGUGGAGGAAUACCGAUGGCGAAGGCAGCCCCCUGGGAUAAUACUGACGUUCAUGCUCGAAAGCGUGGGUAGCAAACAGGAUUAGAUACCCUGGUAGUCCACGCCCUAAACGAUGUCGAUUAGCUGCUGGGCAGCUUGACUGCUUAGUAGCGUAGCUAACGCGUGAAAUCGACCGCCUGGGGAGUACGGUCGCAAGAUUAAAACUCAAAGGAAUUGACGGGGACCCGCACAAGCGGUGGAUGAUGUGGAUUAAUUCGAUGCAACGCGAAGAACCUUACCUGGUCUUGACAUGUACGGAACCUUCCAGAGACGGAAGGGUGCCUUCGGGAGCCGUAGCACAGGUGCUGCAUGGCUGUCGUCAGCUCGUGUCGUGAGAUGUUGGGUUAAGUCCCGCAACGAGCGCAACCCUUGUCAUUAGUUGCCAUCAUUUAGUUGGGCACUCUAAUGAGACUGCCGGUGACAAACCGGAGGAAGGUGGGGAUGACGUCAAGUCCUCAUGGCCCUUAUGACCAGGGCUUCACACGUCAUACAAUGGUCGGUACAAAGGGUAGCCA
rnacentral:rRNA from 1 species